AUAGGGUGCGAGCGUUAAUCGGAAUUACUGGGCGUAAAGUGUGCGCAGGCGGCCUCGCAAGUCGAGUGUGAAAUCCCCGGGCUUAACUUGGGAAUUGCGCUCGAAACUACGGGGCUUGAGUGUGGCAGAGGGGGGUGGAAUUCCACGUGUAGCGGUGAAAUGCGUAGAGAUGUGGAGGAACACCAAUGGCGAAGGCAGCCCCCUGGGCCAACACUGACGCUCAUGCACGAAAGCGUGGGGAGCAAACAGGAUUAGAUACCCUGGUAGUCCACGCCCUAAACGAUGAUGACUAGUUGCUGGGGGAGUUAAAUCCCUUAGUAACGCAGCUAACGCGCGAAGUCAUCCGCCUGGGGAGUACGGUCGCAAGAUUA
rnacentral:rRNA from 1 species